rnacentral:rRNA from 1 species
CCUACGGGUGGCUGCAGUGGGGAAUAUUGCACAAUGGGCGCAAGCCUGAUGCAGCCAUGCCGCGUGUGUGAAGAAGGCCUUCGGGUUGUAAAGCACUUUCAGCGGGGAGGAAGGCGUUAAGGUUAAUAACCUUGGCGAUUGACGUUACCCGCAGAAGAAGCACCGGCUAACUCCGUGCCAGCAGCCGCGGUAAUACGGAGGGUGCAAGCGUUAAUCGGAAUUACUGGGCGUAAAGCGCACGCAGGCGGUCUGUCAAGUCGGAUGUGAAAUCCCCGGGCUCAACCUGGGAACUGCAUUCGAAACUGGUAGGCUAGAGUCUUGUAGAGGGGGGUAGAAUUCCAGGUGUAGCGGUGAAAUGCGUAGAGAUCUGGAGGAAUACCGGUGGCGAAGGCAGCCCCCUGGACAAAGACUGACGCUCAGGUGCGAAAGCGUGGGGAGCAAACAGGAUUAGAUACCCUAGUAGUC